AUGGAUCAUGCAGGUUGCUCUGCAGGUUGGUCUAAAGACACUGGUAGAAUUGCACCUGCAAGCUCUGAACAUUCAUGUCAUCAGGUGAUUAGCUUGCUGCUUAGAUUAGGACACAACAGAGGCUUAUCAGCAUGUGUGCGACUAACAACCCAUUGCAGCUGUGCUUGGUCGAUGUGGACUAUUCUUUCCUCAACACAAGAAAAAUUCAAUUGUCUUCGUGGGAAAUUAAUUGCACAAUUAUUUCAGACAAGUAUGGGUGGAGUAUUAUCUUCUACAGAUCAGGUGGCAAUGGUACUCCCAACGAAUCAGCAGAAGAUUACACCAUGA
rnacentral:rRNA from 1 species